AAAAAAAACAACAAAUUUCUUUGCUGAAUAUUCAGAUUUAAAGAUAUACAGGUGUACCAGCAUUUUUAGUGGUGGCUGUAACAGGCCUGUCCACCAAUGAUGAAGCCACUUUGACAUGUGACCUUACUAGGGUCCAAUGGGGAAAGCUUUCAGAAAGUAUUACUGAAUUCUUCGACUUCCAAUUGGUCAGGAAAGGAGCUAAUCAGCUUCAUUGAGUCAGUUCCCAGGAAGCCCUUCAGUGUGUGUCUCUGUGGAAAAGACAGAAGGGGGAAUGAGCUUGAGAGAGCUUCCACUGAGAUGGUUCAGCCCACACAUGUACAUAUCAUGGUUGAUGAAUGACUAAGGAUGUUUGACGUCAUAUUUACAUUUCAUGGAUGACUGCUUAAAAGGUGU